rnacentral:rRNA from 1 species
GACGAACGCUGGCGGCGUGCUUAACACAUGCAAGUCGAACGGGCCCGCUCUCUUUUUUGGGGGUGGGUUGAGUGGCGAACGGGUGAGUAUCACGUGAGUAACCUGCCCCCUGCUCCUGGAUAACUGCUUGAAAGGGCGGCUAAUACGGGGUGUGCCGGCUGGUCCGCAUGGGCCUGGUCGGGAUAGUUUCAUCUUCGGGUGUUUCGGUGGGGGAUGGGCUCGCGGCCUAUCAGCUUGUUGGUGGGGUGAUGGCCCACCAAGGCGGUGACGGGUAGCCGGCCUGAGAGGGUGGGCGGCCACACUGGGACUGAGACACGGCCCAGACUCCUGCGGGAGGCAGCAGUGGGGGGUAUUGCACAAUGGGCGGAAGCCUGAUGCAGCGACGUCGCGUGAGGGAUGGAGGCCUUCGGGUGGUGAAACUCUUUCUCCGGUGGUGAAGGCCCUGUCCGUUGCGGCGGGGUUGACGGUAGCCGGGUAUGAAGCGCCGGCUAACUACGUG